CCCAGAGAGCCUGAGGAUCCUCCUACAGUGCCAUGGGAGCUGAUAUGUCCUGCCUUUCUUUGCAGCCAAGCCUCUUGGUGAAGGUGAUCUGGCUUCCCAACCCACACCCAGGACUGAGGCUCUGGAAGAUGGUGAGGGUGUGUCUGCAGGGAGGACUCUCCCAGCUCCUGGGUUGGUUGCUGCACACAAGCCAGGCUCCCAUCGCAGGGGUCCUCCAAGAGGAAAUACCAAAGCUACAGGAGUUAUGAAACCCCAUGAGCCAUCCAAACCCAUGAGGCAAAUGCUGAAGAAAAUUCUGCAGGAAGGACAAGGUGGGUCCAUGUCCCUCAGCCUUCUCCUGAGACUCAGCAGCUGGGGACUUUCUCUGCACAUCUGGACACGCAGUGCCCAACACAGCGGGAAGGGAUCCAUGG